rnacentral:rRNA from 1 species
GAACUAAAGAUUUAUCGGUAACGGAUGGGGAUGCGUGACAUUAGAUAGUAGGCGGGGUAACGGCCCACCUAGUCUACGAUGUCUAGGGGUUCUGAGAGGAAGGUCCCCCACACUGGAACUGAGACACGGUCCAGACUCCUACGGGAGGCAGCAGUGAGGAAUAUUGGUCAAUGGUCGGAAGACUGAACCAGCCAAGUAGCGUGAAGGAUGAAGGUUCUAUGGAUUGUUAAACUUCUUUUAUACGGGAAUAAAACACCUUACGUGUAGGGUCUUGUAUGUACCGUAUGAAUAAGCAUCGGCUAACUCCGUG